GAUGAAGAACGUAGCGAAAUGCGAUACUUGGUGUGAAUUGCAGAAUCCCGUGAACCAUCGAGUCUUUGAACGCAAGUUGCGCCCGAAGCCAUUAGGCCGAGGGCACGCCUGCCUGGGCGUCACACGUCGUUGCCCCCCCCAUCUACUCCUUCGGGAUUGCGGGGGGCGGAUGAUGGCCUCCCGUGUGCCUCGCCGCGCGGUUGGCGUAAAUGCCAAGUCCUCGGCGACGCACGCCACGACAAUCGGUGGUUGCGAAACCUCGGUUGCCCGUCGUGUGCGGUCGUCGCGCAUCGAGGGCUCGAAAAAAUUGCCGGGUUCCGGCUCGGCUUUCAACGCGACCCCAGGUCAGGCGGGGUUACCCGCUGAAUUUAAGCAUAUCAAUAAGCGGAGGA
rnacentral:misc_RNA from 1 species